UAGCAUAAUAGUUAGUUUCUUAAUUGGAAUCUUGUAUGAAUGGUUUGACAAGAAAAAAGCUGUCUCAGAGUUAAUUAUUGAAUUUAACUUUUAAGUGAAAAGGCUUAAAUAAAUUAAAAAGACGAUAAGACCCUAUAAAGCUUAAUAUUAUUUUAUUAUUUAAUAAAAUUUUAAAUAUAAAUAUUUAGUAAUAAUUUGUAUUUUAUUGGGGUGAUAAUGAUAAAAUGAUUAUUAACUGUUAAUUGUUAAAACAAAAAUAAAUGAAUAUAAAGUUUUUGAUAAAGGAUCCUGUAUUAGAGAUUAAAAGUUUAAGUUACUUUAGGGAUAACAGCGUUAUUUUUUUUGAGAGUUCUUAUCGAAAAAAGAGUUUGCGACCUC
rnacentral:rRNA from 1 species